AGCAGCCGCGGUAAUUCCAGCUCCAAUAGCGUAUAUUAAAGUUGUUGCAGUUAAAAAGCUCGUAGUUGAAUUUCGGGGUCAGUAGGUUGGUCAUGCCUCCGGUAUGUACUGGUCUCACUGAUUCCUCCUUCCUGAUGAGCCGUAAUGCCAUUAAUUUGGCGUUGCGGGGAUCUGGACUGUUACUUUGAAAAAAUUGAGUGUUUAAAGCAAGCUAACGCUUGAAUACAUUAGCAUGGAAUAAUGGAAUAGGACGUUCGAUCCUAUUUUGUUGGUUUCUAGGAUUGACGUAAUGAUUAAUAGGGAUAGUUGGGGGCAUUAGUAUUCAAUUGUCAGAGGUGAAAUUCUUGGAUUUAUUGAAGACUAACUACUGCGAAAGCAUUUGCCAAGGAUGUUUUCAUUAAUCAAGAACGAAAGUUAGGGGAUCGAAGACGAUCAGAUACCGUCGUAGUCUUAACCAUAAACUAUGCCGACUAGGGAUCGGAUGAUGUUAAUUUUUAAUGUACUCAUUCGGCUACCG
rnacentral:rRNA from 1 species